rfam:Myotis lucifugus cont2.13655, whole genome shotgun sequence.
GCUGGUUUGGCUCAGUGGAUAGAGCAUCAGCCUGCAGACUGAAGGUCCUAGGUUCGAUUCCCAUCAAUGGCA